CCUACGGGGUGCAGCAGUGGGGAAUAUUGGACAAUGGGGGCAACCCUGAUCCAGCCAUGCCGCGUGUGUGAAGAAGGCCCUCGGGUUGUAAAGCACUUUCAGUGAGGAAGAACGCCUGGUGGUUAAUACCCAUCAGGAAAGACAUCACUCACAGAAGAAGCACCGGCUAACUCCGUGCCAGCAGCCGCGGUAAUACGGAGGGUGCGAGCGUUAAUCGGAAUUACUGGGCGUAAAGCGCGCGUAGGUGGCUUGAUAAGCCGGUUGUGAAAGCCACGGGCUCAACCUGGGAACGGCAUCCGGAACUGUCAAGCUAGAGUGCAGGAGAGGAAGGUAGAAUUCCCGGUGUAGCGGUGAAAUGCGUAGAGAUCGGGAGGAAUACCAGUGGCGAAGGCGGCCUUCUGGACUGACACUGACACUGAGGUGCGAAAGCGUGGGUAGCAAACAGGAUUAGAUACCCCGGUAGUU
rnacentral:rRNA from 1 species